CCUACGGGUGGCAGCAGUGAGGAAUAUUGGUCAAUGGGCGCAAGCCUGAACCAGCCAAGUCGCGUGAGGGAUGACGGUCCUAUGGAUUGUAAACCUCUUUUGUCGGGGAGCAAGGCCCGCCACGUGUGGCGGUAAGUAGAGUACCCGAAGAAAAAGCAUCGGCUAACCCCGUGCCAGCAGCCGCGGUAAUACGGAGGUUGCGAGCGUUAUCCGGAUUUAUUGGGUUGAAGGGGGGCGUGGGCGGAAGGUUAAGUUAGCGGUAAAUUGUGGGUGCUCAACACCGGCCUGCCGUUGAAACUGGUCUGCUUGAGUGCGCGAGAAGUAUGCGGAAUGCGUGGUGUAGCGGUGAAAUGCAUAGAUAUCACGCAGAACUCCGAUUGCGAAGGCAGCAUACCGGAGCUCAACUGACGCUGAGGCACGAAAGCGUGGGGAUCGAACAGGAUUAGAUACCCGGGUAGUC
rnacentral:rRNA from 1 species